CUUAACUUCCACAUUUCCUCAGCAAAUUCUUAAAUAUAUUUAGUGACACCCCUCCCUCUUUCUUUUCAAAAUUUGGAUGAACCAGAGCUGAGUAAAAUCAGAAACUCUGACAGGACUGAGAAAUACUGUUUGUAAAUGUUGGUUUUCACAUAUUUCAUAUUCCUAGGCAAUGGAAUGGAUCCCUGAAAACUUCCAUGUGAAAUUCAGCAUAUCUGUAAGCUAGUCAUCUGCUUUUGCAAGCCUGUUUUAACCGGUAGCUUGCAUGAAGGUUCAUGCCUUUUUUUGGCCUUGUUUUGGAUUAAUCAAAGCGAGCAGAGAAAAGCUCAUUGCACAACAAAGGCAACAAUUAGGUUGCUCCCAUUUACCCGCUGUUGACAUAGGCUGGUGCAGGACACACACAAGGGCAAGCCAGAAAGCAGUAACCUGAGGCACAACCAAAUUACUAAGCCCUGUAGCAUGCGCUGUGGAACGAGGAAAAAAAAUGAAAGAAAGAAAAAAAGAAACAAAAAGAAACCAGCUUGCAAACUCUUGAAUCUUCGGGCAUGUUCUUUCUAUACCCCACAAUACUAACUAAAGAAAGGACAUAAGUUUUGUUUCAGCUGCAGUGGAAAGAUUUUAAACUGCUAUAAGAAAUGAAGGUAAAAUUAUGGAAUAAAAAGAAAAGGCUCAAUUGUAUCUUUUUUUCUUUACAAAUGGAGGCUGUAUUGUUCAUAAGGAUUGACGCAGAACGAUCUACGCUCCAAUUCCUCUCCAUGGAAAUUUGCCCAGACAACCAGAAGAGUAAGACCCAUCUUGAGAGAGACUAGACUUGGCUGUCUGCAAGAUUAUCCUGACCUGUCUCAAGUGAUUACGUGUCCUAGUCUAAUGCGACACCUUCUCCUUCAAAGGAAAACCAAGUUUCGUAUGUGGAAGCGAGGACUCGGCAAGUUUACCUUGAAUGCAAGGUACAGCAGCUGCUAUUUACUACAGCAAUUACUAGACUGUUAGUGCUUAAUUUUUUUUUAUUAAACAUAGAAGCCUAGCUUUUCAGUAUCAGAAUAUACAAACUUGAAGAUAAAAAUGUAGAAAAUAUAAAAUAUUUUAACGCAAUCUGUUCCUUUGUUUUUUUUCUUUAAUGGGACACAGAAU